rnacentral:rRNA from 1 species
AGAGUUUGAUCCUGGCUCAGAUUGAACGCUGGCGGUAUGCUUAACACAUGCAAGUCGGACGGUAGGCACUUCGGUGCCGAGAGUGGCGGACGGGUGAGUAACGCGUAGGAAUCUGCCCUGUAGUGGGGGACAACGUGGGGAAACCCACGCUAAUACCGCAUACGCCCUUCGGGGGAAAGCGGGGGACCGCAAGGCCUCGCGCUAUAGGAUGAGCCUGCGUUGGAUUAGCUAGUUGGUGGGGUAAAGGCCCACCAAGGCGACGAUCCAUAGCUGGUCUGAGAGGACGAUCAGCCACACUGGGACUGAGACACGGCCCAGACUCCUACGGGAGGCAGCAGUGGGGAAUAUUGGACAAUGGGCGCAAGCCUGAUCCAGCAAUACCGCGUGUGUGAAGAAGGCCUGAGGGUUGUAAAGCACUUUCAAUGGGGAGGAAAAAAGGCGGGCCCAAUACGCCCGCCCUUGACAUUACCCAUAGAAGAAGCACCGGCUAACUCCGUGCCAGCAGCCGCGGUAAUACGGAGGGUGCGAGCGUUAAUCGGAAUUACUGGGCGUAAAGCGUGCGUAGGCGGCCUUUUAAGUCAGAUGUGAAAGCCCUGGGCUCAACCUGGGAACGGCAUUUGAAACUGGGGGGCUAGAGUUGGGUAGAAGGG